rnacentral:misc_RNA from 1 species
GCAGAAGUCAAUUGGAAUGUCUCAAGCGUUGCAUGGAUUUAGUCAAGAAGGGGGCAUCUGUCUUUUUCUUCCCCGAGGGUACUCGGAGUAAAGAUGGAAAGUUAGGCCCUUUCAAGAAAGGUGCCUUUAGUGUUGCUGCCAAAACCGGAGUGCCUGUGGUUCCAAUUUCUAUUAGUGGAACAGGCAGGAUAAUGCCAGCAGGGAUGGAG